ensembl:lncRNA
UGACAAUGAAAUAUGGGGUAUGUCUGUCUAUAAUGGUGGUGGUGGUGAGGGUCAGCUUGCUCAUAGGAGGCAAUCAGUCUCUCCCCUUUCCUGACCAUUUCCUCUUCCUUACCAGGAACUCUCUCACUUUCCUUACAUUCAUAUAUUGUGGAUAUUCAAAGUUUAGCCCAUCUAAAUCUUGAGACAUAAGCUAUCCAAGUCCUCAGGAGAGAUGGGAUUUUGCAGUCAGUCAAUAAACAUUUAUUAUGUGCCAAGAAUUGUGCUAAACUCUAGAAUAUAAAGACAAAAUUCAAUUUCUGCCCUCAAAAACAUAUUCUAUCCAUAUCCAUAGAGAUGGAAGUAGUCUUAGGGAAAAUAGUCAUAGAUUAUCUCAAAGAUUUCUAAUCUUUGUGCUGUGGACUGACUCUAUAAAUAGAUUGGUGAGGAUAUGCACCCUUUCUCAGAAUAAUGUUUUAAAAGUAUAAAAAUACCUAGGAUUACAUAGGAAACAAAUACAUAUACACAUAUACAUGGAUGCCUUUAAAAAUAUUCAAAGAAGAGGUUCAAUAUGAUUUAUCUGUAAAUGUUUAUGUAUUCAUAUAUAUUUAUAUAUGUGGACACAUACACUAAUAUUCAUGUAUAUGUUCAUAUAUACAUACAUAUGCACACAUAUGUACACACACAAAUUCCCAGACUCCAUGCAUUUUAAGAACUUCUGAUUCUAGCCCAACUUUUUCAUUUUAAAGGUAAGGAAAUUGAAGUUCAGAGAGAUUAGGAAAGGAUUUGCUCAAAAUCAUGUUAGGUGGGCAGUGGGGCAGAUGAGACUAAUGCUCAAUUCUCUAGAAUGUCAAUUUUGGAGCUUCUGUAAAGACCCUGAGCAAUAUCAGUAUAACAAAAUUGUCCUGGUGUGGGGCAUUACUCGGCUUGACUGCAUUGAAUUUCCAGUUUUGUUGAAAUUCCAGUUUCUAGCCAGUUCUUGGCUAUCCCUUAAUUUUAACUCUAAGGUAGUUUUCUCCUUCUUUAAUAGGCAAAUAAAUUUAUUUGAGGGAUCAAGGAUCUGGCUCUACUUUAGGACUUUCUGUAAUUCAUUUCUCCCCACUCCCAUUUGACCCCAUUGAAGAAUUUUUUUCUCCCUUUCUUCCUAUCCCUCCUCUUUGGGUCUCUGUGUGUUCACAUCUGCAUACAGCCUAGUAAAGAACUAUUUUGGGAUUCAAUUAGGGUCUGCUCUCAUCUUCUUGCCAGGGUCCCUCACAAAUUUAUUAUCCACUCUGCCUUGGUUCCAAAUUAAAGCCAUCAUCUAUAAUAGUUCACCAGAUUUGGGGAGCUUUUCCUUUUGAUACUAGUGACACUGAGAACUGACUUGUGAACUCCCAGGCAGCAGGAGAAUAUUAAUGGUAAGUCGUUGGCCAUUUACCCUGCCCCCCGCCCCUCUCACUUCACUGGGGAGAACUCUGGGAGGUCUGUAAGGUCGGGAUAGAUCUAUAUUGUAAGAGGCAGUGAGACUGAAAUAGCAUUACUAUUCCAUUUGGGUCUGUUGUCGUACUUAAAACAAAAAGACUAUUAUGAAGCCCAUAGAUCAGCUGCCGUAAAAGCUUCCAUAAAGCCCUGAUCGCUAUAUGAGGUUAUAACAGCAGUGUUAAUCUUCUCUACAGUGUUUACACAGCUAGCUCAUCCAUGGUGUCGCUGGACUUGGGCCAGCUUGCUAGAGAACAUUCUUGAUUAAAAAAUGUAAAAGUUGUGUUGCUUUAAGCAGUGACCCUAGGAGUUUACAUAUACCUGGGUUAUCAGUUCCCUCAUAAUUCAUGGAUCUGAAUUGCAAAUUUGGGGGAGGCUGGUUUGGAUUUCACACUCUUGUGAUUCAGUUGGGGCAAAGGAUUUAAUUACACUGCCAGUCCAGCAUGGAGGUAUCAGCCCAGGCUUCUCAACAAGGAAACCAAAUCUAUUUUGGAGAUGCAUGUCAAUUUUAUCCCCCCCCCCUUCCAGAUGCAUGUCAAUUGCCCCCCCCCUUUUCAUAGAAACUUUUUGGGCUUCUGAUUGGUUUUCCAAAUUAGAUAAGGAAGUUUAUGGUUCACACUCGGAACUGAGGUUCUCCCAAUGCCACACUAGUUAACUGGGAUCCUUACAAGAAAUGGUUAUCCCAGUAAUAAACUUGGAAGUGUUUUUGACCCAUUGACAUUUUGAAAGCAGGUCAUUUAUAGGGGGAGAAGAAGCAUUUUAACUAUUUAAAAUGUAAACUCAUAAGCACAUGAAAGCUGAAAGAGAUCAAAACUAAUUUUUUCCUCCUCCAUAAAAUGAGAAAAAUAAUAGCAGCUUCCUCCUAGGUUGUUGCCAAGAACAAAUCAGAGGAUAUUUGCAAAGCACAUUAUUAUUGUUGUUAUUAUUAUUUCCUUUAUCAGAUUCAUGUUUUCCUUUCCUACUUCCAAUCCUCCCUCCACCCAUUGCAAUAGACACUUCUGCCUUUUUUUCCCCCCUGAAUUUUUAUGUUGUCCUUUUAAUAGCCAACCCUCAAUUGGAAUGAGGAUGGAAAAGCAAAAUUUAUUUAGAAAGAUAAUUUUUCCCAUGACCAUAGAAAUGAUCAGUAUCCUAAAGGUUUCUUCCCCCCAUCCCUAAACAUUCUAUCUUUAGCUUUUCUCUUAAUAAACCCUGAAAAACUAUAAAUCCCCAAAUCCUCCUCAUCCAGUCUAAUUUCACUAAUUUCAAUCUAUUUUGUUUAUUUAUUUGUUUUGGGGAAACAGCCUUUAGAUAGGCUGGCAACUGUUAUUAUUUUUUAAAACCCAAUUUGUGUUUGAUACACGUUUAGAAAUGUCAAUCUCCAUCUUUCUUCAAUUGUCCAAUCUGACUGAAAAAUAGUCUCUGAUGAAAAUUUUGCAUAUCGUAUCUAUGUCUUAACUCCAACAUUUAGACAAUCUGCCAAGAAAACAUUUUGCUUUUGAUCUUGAAAUAAAGGGGGAAAAAACAACCAAAAACCACUUGCUUUUACAAUCAUGGAAAGAAAAGCAUUUCUUUUAAGAAAACCCAGGUUAGCAGGACAAAAGCAUCAUGGCAUGUGAUCUGUUGAAAGACAUUUGGAAAAUGAAAGUCUUGCCUAAAGUAUAACUUAAUCUCACUGGGGCAAUGGGCACAAUCUGGAAUGUCUUGCUCGGGCACACAUUAGUGACUUUGCCAACUUCCUGGAGGUUCAUGUCGGAUUCUGCAAAAGGACUGCAUUUCCUUUUGGAAUGGGGACUGAGAAAGAGAGGCAGCAGAGGCCCGGGUCCACCAGUAAAUUUCUCCAUCUCUCUCUCUCCUCUCUCUCUAUUCCCCUUUCUCAACACUACUCCCUCUCUUUCAUUUCCUUUUUUCUCUCUUCACCCUCUUAUUGUAUCCCCUUUUUCCUCAAUCCCUCUCUUUUUUUCUCUUUCUCUCUCCCUCACCCUCUCUGUCUCUUCCUUUUCUUUAUCUUUCCUCUCUCUGUCUCUCUGUUUCUGUUUGCCCCUCUCUGUUUCUAUCUGUCUUUGUCUGUGUUCCUCUCCCUCUCCCUCUCUCCCCUCUUUCUAUUUCCCUUUCUCUCCAGUCCUCUCUACCCCCUUUCCCCAUCCCUCUCUCUUUCUUCCUCUCCCUCUAUCUCUUUAUCUUUUCCCUGCUCCUUGAUCUUUUCCCAUAUCUUUCUCUCUCCUCUCCUACCCCCACCUACCUGUUCCUAUAAGACGUCCUUCUGUGAUUAUCUCCAAAAAUUGACCACUCUGCCUUCAAGAUGGCUCUAUAUAUGCUGAAAGACCAGUGAUGUCACCAUGUGGAUACUUCCUGGAAUGAUGCAGGCGGAAACCCCUCUCUGUCCCAUGGAGAUGGUUUUGACCAUAAAUCGCAUCUACCUGCCUGCCUUUCCCCUCCAGUCACUGAUAAAGGAUGGGAUGAUCCAACAAAGAAGCCAUGUGCCAUCAUCUCAGCACCAGCUCUGACACUGUUCCAAGAUUUUGGCCAUCGCUGAGGCUCCAUUCCAUGACCCGCAUAAAGAUGCCACAGCCACCAAUGACCAUAACUAAUAACACCUGCUUGGUGAACUCAGGGAGCCCAAGAAUGGAAUGGAGGCAGCUUGGUAAGAAAUUCCAUCGCUGCAAUAUGGAAGUGUUUAAGCCUGGCCAACACCAGUCAGGGUAGCAGAGAUCUGAACCUUUAAAUUACCGCCAUUCCCUGCCUGAGGGAAAAGUAAAUAAACAAUUCACAGCUGCAUCACCUAAACACAGAAACACAGCUAUCUCUUUGGGGCUGUGAUUGCUGAACAAGUAAUUAAGUGGGAAAUGUGAGCCCUCAAUGUCAGUGUGACAUGAUAAAGGUCUCAGGCUGUAAAUUAACUGAACCCCAGAGAGACCUGGGGAUUAACCCUUGCAGCCAGGAGAGGUGAGAGCAGUCUUAUCAGCCCAAAGUGUCAGCUUCAUGGAAAUGGGAUGCAAUAUAGGCCAUGGAUCCAACACUCUGAACUCACCAGGGCUGUUUUUAUCUGAUUAUUUAAACGCUCUGGAAUUUGGAUGACUUCCCUGUGGAGCCCUUGUAAACGCUCAAGGGAAAGGUAGACUGAGUAAGGCUUGGAGAGUGAAAUUCCUUGGGUUUAGUACUUCUCUCAAGGAACCAAUUAAACACCUAUUUUGUUGUUGUUGUUUUUAGAAAUUGGCGAUGUCCAAUAGUAUACGAGGGGCUAGGUUUCUAAAUGGAAAAAAAAAUGCUUAAAGGUUGGGUUAGGAGCACGUUUGUAAUGAGAUAAUUGGACAAACAACAUCUGGCUGGAAGUUAGCUAAUUUGAGUUUCAAUUUUGUUUUCAAUAGUUCUAGUUCUGUGACUUUGGUUGACUUAACUUUUUAGAACCUCAGCUUCUCCAUUUGUGAAAGGAUUAUAGGGAUGAUAGCUCACAUGUAAGCAUGGCUUUCAGGUUUACAAAGCAUCUUACACACAUUUUCUUGUUGGAGAGGUAGUAUGCAUUUGGAAUCAAAGUGCCUUGCAUUGAAUCAUGACUAUGGGUGCUGAUUACCUGUGGGAUGACCUUGUGCAAGUCAGUUCACAGGUUCCUCAUCAGUAAGAUAAGAGGAUUGGAUAAUAUUGUCCCUAUGGUCCAUACUGUACAAUGGAACAAGUCAGCUCCAGGGUCAGACAACUUCGGUUCAAAUCUCAACUCUGCUGCUUAGUACCUUAGGCAUCUCACCCAACUGACCUGGACUUCAGUUUCCUCAAAGAGUUGAACCAGAAGACUUCCGAGUUAGUUUUCUCAUAGCGCUAUACUUAUAAUCCUUCCACUAUCUAUUACUCUUUUGUUUUUCCAACAAACCUAUUAGACCAGUUGAGUAUUAUACCCUCAUAGAAAAAGUAACAGUUUUUAGAAGGGAUUUCCUCAGAGAAGUAAACUCACAUUUUACUUUACAUACCUCACAGGGCUUUUAUCUAUGUCAAGUAAGAGCAUCUAAGUGUUCUAUUUUGGUAGAGUUCUGUUUAAAUAGAAAUUAUAAUAAUUAUUACUAUUAUUAUUAUUAUCAUAAGUAUCAUAGUAUGCCUUAAAGAAAAGUGAUAGCUUUCCCCCUCCUUGGAUAGACAGACUUCUCCAUAGACAGAGGGAUUCAGAAUAGAAAAUAUGAGCUCCAUAUGACAAAUAAAGGAAUAGAUUGGAAUAUGCUUUGAUGGAAAUCACUAGAAAUUAGUGGGAGACUGUGAGAACUGUUAUGGUAAUAGAGAAAAAGACAUUUGGUUGGGAGAUUUUUUGGUUCAUUCUUGUUGGUAAUUUAUAAUGUUAACUUGGGGCAAACUGACUAAGGGGACUUAUGGGACCCAGUUCUCUGCUCCAUGAAAUAAGAAGGUUGGACUAGAUCAGGAAUUGUUGCCCCAGAAUCCACAGACUCCCAAGAAAACCAGGCAAAAAUUUUAGGGGCUUUAUGAACUUGGAUAGUUCCUUGGAUAGGAAAAUAAUUCAUCUUAAUUUUCACUAACAUCUAACUGAAUGAAUUCAAUUAUGAAUACAGGUAAUAUAUCACUGAAAUAUUAAGGUUGUCCAGACUACCAAAGGGGUUCAUUAAACAAAAAAAAAUGUUAGGAACUCCUGGACUCUGUGAUUUCUAAGGAUCCAUCUCCAACAUUCUGUACUCUGAGAUUUUUUUUUUGCUCUGGUAUUCUCUUAUGCAGGUAUUUUCUUGUUCUAGAGUUCUGUGGAUUUUGAAGGCUGUUUCAAGGGCUAAAGCAAUAUUGAUUUUCAGGACACUUUUGGAUUUUGGAGCAGUCUGAAAUACCUCAGCAAGCAUCAUUAUGAAAGCAUUUGGUAAUUCAGAUCAUGGAAUGUGCAGAGAUGCUUCCCCCCCACCUACCAUAUUCUCUUCCCAUCUCUCCAUCCCCUGGUCAAACAUUUUGACACUUUUUAAAUGUGACAUUUUUAUUGCUUUGAUGGACAAGGAGGCAGGGAAAAGAUAGGGUGAAGAAUUUCAUAGUUUAUUUCUGUUCUACUGGCUCUACCCACCCAAAGAUCAAGUCAUCUGAAUCUCAGUCAUUGCUUUUAAUCUGAUGCCCCUAUACUUGGGGAGAAAUUUUCUGGGAAAAAAGAAAUGUUUGUAUUACGAGAAACGUGGAUAUUCUCUUUCAAGGUGCUAAAUUUGUGCUGAGCUGGUUCAAAAUACGACUGCAUCUGGUUAUGUCUGGUGUCUACUACUCAAAAAAUGUCUUAAAUUCCAGACAACCUCUUGGGUUUAGAAAUAAAAGUCAUCAAUCCAGCAUUUGAAUUUAAUAUUUGAAACUGUAUUCUAAUCUCUCUCUUUUUUGUCUUCCACAUGAAUUAAUUUUGCAAAAGUUGGACAGAAACAAAGUUUUUUUUUUUUAAUUUUCCAAGAGAACAUUCUUAACAGAAUGGUAUAAAUAAAAUAAGGUUUGACCUGAAUGUUUACAAUUUUUCAUCUGAUCUGGAAAGGUUGUAGACCUUUCUAUAAAAAUCUUACUCUUAUCCCUCCCUGCACCCCUACUUUCUUCCCUUCAUGAAAAAAUUGUAUUUUCUAAAGGUGAUACAGCUGCUUGGAUGCAUAUUAAAUGUUAGGGUUUUUUUUUUUUUUUUGAUUAACUGAUAAGCUUUUAUUGAAAAUCACUGGAGGGAGAUGAGUUAAUAUUGCAAGUAGCCUGAACCAGCUCUGUCUAGAUUUAUAUGCCAUUGACAUUAUUUUGAAAGAGCUGAGCAACCCAUAUAUAGAUACUUAUCCAUAUAUGCACAUAUGCACACACACACACACACACACACACAAGUACACAUAAUUUUGCCAGAAUUCACACAUAAGUACAUGGAACUAUCUAGAAUUAUAUAAGCAUUUCAAAAAUAUUUCAAAUGAUCUUUAGAAGUAAGCUUCUUAUGAAUAAGAAUUGUUUCAUUAUUUAUAUCUAUAACAUCUAGCCUGAACAACCCUGAGGAAGAGCCAAGAGGCACAUGCCAGUUAUAUCAAAAUACUACCACUACCUCAACUACCAAAUCCUUUAAACUUAGAGGGAGAUGGCCUAGGAUCCUGAGCCUGUGAACCCUAGGAAAAGUGGUGCUUAGACCAUUAGUUAUCCUUCUAGUCAGCCUUCAGCAGCCAUCAUCAUUCGAAUCAAUUUUUCUUGACGAUGGAGAUUCUUUUUUUUAAAUUAAGGUUUUUAUUUGCAAAAACAUGUGCAUGGGUACUUUUUCAACACUGACCCUUGCAAAAUCUUCCGUUCCAACUUUCCCCCUCCUUCCUUCCACCCCCUCCCCUAAAUGAUGGGUAAUCCAAUACAUGUUAAAUAUGUUAAAAUAUAUGUUAAAUCCAAUAUAUGUGUAUAUAUUUAUACAGUUAUCUUGUGUACAAGAAAAAUUGAAUCAAGAAGGGAAAAAAACUGAAAAAGAAAACAAAAUGCAAGCAAAAAAACAACAGAAAGAGUGAAAAUGCUAUGUUGUGGUCUACACUCAGUUCCCACAGUCUGGGUGUAGAUGGCUCUCUUCACAAGAUUAUUGGAACUGAUCUGAAUCAUCUCAUUGUUGGAAAGAGUCACCUCCAAAGAUGGAGAUUCUUAUCCCUUCCACCAAUCUCUUCAACCAAUUGCUAUUAAUGGACAGAUGCUGUAGUUCCCCUUCCUAGAUGAUACAACUACUAAACACCUGAAUAAUAAAAUUCUUGCCACUCAUGUCCUUGGCACUAUCAAAUGGUUUGACUUCAGAAACUGAUAUUGUUUUCUUUUAUCAAUGAAGAACUAAGAAUAAGGAAAAUGCAUUACCAUCUGCUUUGCUAUUUGUAGCCUAAUGACCACGGGUCCUUCUUAUGUGAUUUACAAAAGAACUCUCCUGUAUUUGUUGUUCUUCUCUCUCUAUUAAAAAAUGAGAUCCUUGAAAGCAAGAGUUGUCUAACUUUUAUGUAUUCUAAUGCUUUGAAUCUAUUAGGCAUUUAACAAAUGUCUAAUAAUAAUAAAUUCA